rnacentral:rRNA from 1 species
UACGGGGGGGGUAAGCGUUGUUCGGAAUUACUGGGCGUAAAGGGCUCGUAGGCGGCCAACUAAGUCAGACGUGAAAUCCCUCGGCUUAACCGGGGAACUGCAUCUGAUACUGGAUGGCUUGAGUUUGGGAGAGGGAUGCGGAAUUCCAGGUGUAGCGGUGAAAUGCGUAGAUAUCUGGAGGAACACCGGUGGCGAAGGCGGCAUCCUGGACCAACACUGACACUGAGGAGCGAAAGCCAGGGGAGCAAACGGG